rnacentral:rRNA from 1 species
UACGUAGGGUGCGAGCGUUGUCCGGAAUUAUUGGGCGUAAAGGGCUCGUAGGCGGUCUGUUGCGUCAGGAGUGAAAACUCGGGGCUUAACCCCGAGCCUGCUUCUGAUACGGGCAGACUAGAGGUAUGCAGGGGAGAACGGAAUUCCUGGUGUAGCGGUGAAAUGCGCAGAUAUCAGGAGGAACACCGGUGGCGAAGGCGGUUCUCUGGGCAUUACCUAACGCUGAGGAGCGAAAGUGUGGGGAGCGAACAGG